rnacentral:rRNA from 1 species
UACGUAGGUGGCAAGCGUUGUCCGGAUUUACUGGGCGUAAAGAGCGCGCAGGCGGUCGGAUUAGUCGCGUGUGAAAGCCCCCGGCUCAACUGGGGAGGGUCACGCGAUACUGUUCGACUCGAAGGCAGGAGAGGGAAGUGGAAUUCCCGGUGUAGUGGUGAAAUGCGUAGAUAUCUGGAGGAACACCGGUGGCGAAGGCGGCGUUCUGGACUGCAACUGACACUGAGGAACGAAAGCCAGGGGAGCAAACGGG